AGGAUGACACCCAACUCCUGCUUCUCAUGUCUCUGCCUUACAAGUGCUAAGAUUAUAGUCUUGAACACUGAACAUUUACUUUUGUUCACUUACUGUUCUGGAAAUCAUUGCACAAGAAAAGAAGGCUUGCUUUCUCAAAGACUUUGGAACUGAAUGCCAGCCUGCUCAUCUUGACAGACAUGCAACUGAGAAGGGCCUGUUCAUCUUCCUGACAGGGAUCACAUUGCAAGCAAAGCCAGAGAACUGGAAGCUUGCCAUCCAAGCAAUUUAGGCUGUGUCUCCCAGUUCAAAA